rnacentral:lncRNA from 1 species
ACAUAAUGGAGCAGAUACCUGUCAAAAAUAUUGAGGAAGUUUUCAAUGAACUGAUAUGGAGUGAUUUUCAUGUAUCUAUACACCAUUUGAUCUUACUGUUAGAAAAUGUAAAUAAGAAAAUAUACUUGUAUAUGCACAUUUUUUAUGAAGGAAAUUCAAGGAUAAACCAGCAACAAAAAGAUUGUAUUGACAGGAUGGGCAGGAAUGUGGUGGAAAGAAGAGAAAGACAUCUGGAAUUGGAAUGGACUAUAAGAUGAAGUGACAUUUUUCUAACUACCUCUUUUAUUGAUUCUAUUUUUUAAAAAUACAUGACAGCAGUGGAAUGCUCUGACUUUUAGAAUCAUGGUGUUUAACAUAAGCAAAAAUUAAACACAUACUUAAAAUCAACCAAAAUAUCAAGAUACAAAUAAGGUCCAAAUUGAACAAAAACAGUGAUAAUGACUCUAACGAUACUACAAAUUAAUAAAUUUGUGGUAAAGCAAAAUGGGAAUGUUAGCAGUUUAAGAGCUGACAGGCUGUGGAUUUACACAUUGACAUACAACAGCUCUGCUUACUGCCAUUUAAGUAUAGAGGCUUACAGUAGCUAAUUGGUACCUAAUAGAUAAUCACAGUAGAAGAGAUGGGAAAAGAAACAAUAGGGAACAAAACAGUCUCCCUUUAGGCUUAGGGAAGUACAAGUCCCUAAGCUGUAUGAGCUAAGAGUUCCUAGGUGGUUGACAAGCUUGUACUCAUAUAAGAAAUGUAGAAUGCACCUUCCAGUAUUAUUGCACCAACUCCCUUGCCUUAAUGUAUCCAAAACUUGCUUAUGUAUA